rnacentral:rRNA from 1 species
ACUUACGGCCAUACCAUCCUAAACAAGCCUUAUAGCAACCUGGUUAGAACUUGGAUGGGAGACUGUCUGGGAAUACCAGGUGCUGUUAGUU